rnacentral:rRNA from 1 species
GAUGAACGCUGGCGGCGUGCUUAACACAUGCAAGUCGAACGUGAGAGGAUAGCAAUAUUCUUGAAAGUGGCGCACGGGUGAGUAAUACGUAGGUAACCUGCCCUGGAGUGGGGGAUAACAACUAGAAAUGGUUGCUAAUACCGCAUGAAGCCAAGACACUGGGAAGUGACUUGGUAAAAACUCUGGUGCUUCAGGAGGGGCCUACGGCCGAUUAGCUAGUUGGCGGGGUAAGAGCCCACCAAGGCAGUGAUCGGUAGCUGGUCUGAGAGGACGAUCAGCCACACGGGAACUGAGACACGGUCCCGACUCCUACGGGGGGCAGCAGUGAGGAAUAUUGGGCAAUGGGCGGAAGCCUGACCCAGCAACGCCGCGUGGAGGAAGACGGCCUUCGGGUUGUAAACUCCUUUUACGGGGUAAGGAGGAAGGACGGUACCCCGAGAAUAAGUCACGGCUAACUACGUG